rnacentral:rRNA from 1 species
CUCGUAGGCGGUUUGUCGCGUCUGCUGUGAAAACCUAAGGCUCAACCUUGGGCUUGCAGUGGGUACGGGCAGACUAGAGUGCGGUAGGGGUGACUGGAAUUCCUGGUGUAGCGGUGGAAUGCGCAGAUAUCAGGAGGAACACCGAUGGCGAAGGCAGGUCACUGGGCCGCAACUGACGCUGAGGAGCGAAAGCAGUGGGGAGCGAACA